CAGCCGCCACGGUAUUACGUAGGUGGCAAGCGUUGUCCGGAAUUAUUGGGCGUAAAGGGCUCGCAGGCGGUUUCUUAAGUCUGAUGUGAUAGCCCCCGGCUCAACCGGGGAGGGUCAUUGGAAACUGGGAAACUUGAGUGCAGAAGAGGAGAGUGGAAUUCCACGUGUAGCGGUGAAAUGCGUAGAGAUGUGGAGGAACACCAGUGGCGAAGGCGACUCUCUGGUCUGUAACUGACGCUGAGGAGCGAAAGCGUGGGGAGCGAACAGGAUUAGAGACCCGCGUAGUCCCUGUCUCUUAUAC
rnacentral:rRNA from 1 species